GUAGUAAAGCUCUUUUACCCGGGAUGAUAAUGACAGUACCGGGAGAAUAAGCUCCGGCUAACUCCGUGCCAGCAGCCGCGGUAAUACGGAGGGAGCUAGCGUUGUUCGGAAUUACUGGGCGUAAAGCGCGCGUAGGCGGUUUUUUAAUUCAGAGGUGAAAGCCCAGUGCUCAACCCUGGAACUGCCUUUGAAACUGGAAAACUUGAAUCUUGGACAGGUCAGUGGAAUUCCGAGUGUAGAGGUGAAAUUCGUAGAUAUUCGGAAGAACACCAGUGGCGAAGGCGACUGACUGGACAAGUAUUGACGCUGAGGUGCGAAAGCGUGGGGAGCAAACAUGAUUAAUACCCUGGUAGUCCACGCCGUAAACGAUGAUAACUAGCUGUCCGGGCUCAUAG
rnacentral:rRNA from 1 species